rnacentral:rRNA from 1 species
GACGAACGCUGGCGGCGUGCUUAACACAUGCAAGUCGAGCGGUAAGGCCCUUUCGGGGGUACACGAGCGGCGAACGGGUGAGUAACACGUGGGUGACCUGCCCUCAGCUCUGGGAUAAGCCUGGGAAACCGGGUCUAAUACUGGAUAUGACUCCAUGACGCAUGUUGUGGGGUGGAAAGCCUUGUGCGGCUGAGGAUGGGCCCGCGGCCUAUCAGCUUGUUGGUGGGGUGANGGCCUACCAAGGCGACGACGGGUAGCCGGCCUGAGAGGGCGACCGGCCACACUGGGACUGAGACACGGCCCAGACUCCUACGGGAGGCAGCAGUGGGGAAUCUUGGACAAUGGGCGCAAGCCUGAUCCAGCCAUGCCGCGUGGGUGAAGAGGGCCU